GACAGAGGGUGCAAACGUUGCUCGGAAUUACUGGGCGUAAAGCGCGUGUAGGUGGAUUGGUGUGUCAGAUGUGAAAUCCCUGGGCUCAACCCAGGAACUGCACCUGAAACUACCAGUCUUGAGUGGUGGAGAGGGAAGUGGAAUUCCUGGUGUAGCGGUGAAAUGCGCAGAUAUCAGGAGGAACACCGGUGGCGAAGGCGGGUCUCUGGGCCGGAACUGACGCUAAGGAGCGAAAGCGUGGGGAGCGAACAGG
rnacentral:rRNA from 1 species